rnacentral:rRNA from 1 species
UACGUAGGGUGCGAGCGUUGUCCGGAAUUAUUGGGCGUAAAGGGCUCGUAGGCGGUCUGUCGCGUCGGGGAGUGAAAACUCAGGGCUUAACCCUGAGCCUGCUUCCGAUACGGGCAGACUAGAGGUAUGCAGGGGAGAACGGAAUUCCUGGUGUAGCGGUGAAAUGCGCAGAUAUCAGGAGGAACACCGGUGGCGAAGGCGGUUCUCUGGGCAUUACCUGACGCUGAGGAGCGAAAGUGUGGGGAGCGAACAGG